GACGAACGCUGGCGGCGUGCUUAACACAUGCAAGUCGAACGGAAAGGCCCCUUCGGGGGUACUCGAGUGGCGAACGGGUGAGUAACACGUGAGUAACCUGCCCUUGACUUCGGGAUAACUUCAGGAAACUGGGGCUAAUACCGGAUAGGAAUCCUUGCUGCAUGGUGGGGGUUGGAAAGCUUCGGCGGUUUUGGAUGGACUCGCGGCUUAUCAGCUUGUUGGUGGGGUAGUGGCUUACCAAGGCUUUGACGGGUAGCCGGCCUGAGGGGGCGACCGGCCACAUUGGGACUGAGAUACGGCCCAGACUCCUACGGGAGGCAGCAGUGGGGAAUAUUGCACAAGGGGCGGAAGCCUGAUGCAGCAACGCCGCGUGCGGGAUGACGGCCUUCGGGUUGGAAACCGCUUUCAGCAGGGGCGAAGCUUGUGGUGACGGUACCUGCAGAAGAAGCACCGGCUAACUACGUG
rnacentral:rRNA from 1 species